AGAUUCCCCGAGAGCCAGGCAGAAAAAGUGGACCCUGCCCCCAGAGCGCAGGCCCAGGGAGAGGCAGGCAGGUGGCCAGUCUGAGUCAGCGGGAUGGAGGCGCCUGGCAUGGGGAAGGGGUGUGUAGCCUGGGAGGGGCCUUGGGCGGGAGCAUCCCCGGGGAGAGAGCCGGAGCAAGUUCCCUAAGGACACAUGAUAACUGGCAGAGGAAGAGCAGCUGCUGGGGAACGGGGGGGUGGUGUGUAGGGAGCUGCACACCCUGGGGUGGUCAAGGCAGAAUGGGCACCAGCUGCGGCCCACCAGUCCUGCUCUUGGGGUCCCAACAGGCAGGGAGAAGUGGUGGACCUGUGUCCGAGCAUCAGGGGGCGCUGCAAGUGGGCAUGCUGGGUGCCCAGCAGGGGUACCAUCAUUCCCCAGGGGUGUAGAGAGUGGGCUGGGCCCGGGAGCCCUCCGAGGAGGCUCUGCCACCACCUGUGGGACAGCAGGAGGAGCUUGAACUCUGUGGGGCCUUGGAGCAGAAAGGACCCGCCGCUGGAAGGGAGGGUCACAGGAAAGGGGAAGCCCCGGAGCCCCUGGUCCUUGGCUUGGAGAGCUGGGUACACAAUGAUGCCCAACCCUCAUAAGGUCCACACAUGACAGGGUGCCUCCAAUCCACUGUGGACGGUGACAGAGUGGCUCAAGGCCGCCAGGAUAAAGAAGGGUGGGUGUAACGGGUCAAGGAGAAUCCAAGCUUUGAGGUGCGCAGGUACAGAGGACUCUUGCGUGGUCCCCACAGCCAUGGGUGCACAGGCCAGUGGGUGCAUUCAGGGGACAUGGCAGAGGGAGGUGCAUUUUUGUGCUGUUUUCCUCUGUGCCAGCCCCCUGGGAAGCAGGCACUGUUGAUGCCCUGUCCCUAGGUCUCACUUCUGAGUUCGCCUGCAGCUGGGAGGCAGUUCCUGUGGGCACUGGGGCUUCCCACCCACCUCAACCCUGCCUGAGAGUUUCCUCUGGUGCCCAGGAGCUCCCUCGGGAGGAGCGCCGCCAGCUUGGGGAACUAGGGGUUUGGUCCCCACAGGGCCACCUGGGCAAAUGCCCCCGGGGGCACAUUCAGCCAGCACUUCACCAGGUCCCUUGUGAGGCCUCAGCUGUCCCAACUGUCCCUCUGAGCCUCCUCCGGAAUGGGUGCAAUGGAUACCAGCGUCAGCCCCUUGCAGACCUAUCCAGAUGCAAGGACUUGGCUCUUUGGCCCACUCCAAGCCACCCUGAGAUGCCACGUGGAACCCUAGGAAAACCCACCUCUGCAAGAAGGUCCUGAAAUCAGGUAACUUCUCGCUACAAUGUAAAUGACUGAUAGGCUCAAACGGGCCUUGGGAGGGUUUCAGGACAGGGUACAGGAAAUGACCUGCAAGUCUGCAGAGCCAGUCUGCAAACUCUAGGGAGCGCCCCUCAAUGCCCUUAGGCCACCUUUCCUUCUCUGACCUCUGUCCCCAUCCCUGCCCCAAGCUGUGUCUCUUUGGCACCUGGGAUGUAAGCUGUGGAAGCUAAACUGCACUGUAGUUGCAGACUCUUGAGAAACCGCAUGAACAAUAUUUCUGAAGAUCUCCCACGAAGGUUGCCUCCCUCCCUACGCUCAGGCUGCCUGCAGGCCUAGUCCCAGCAGAUCUCCGGGAGACGCUGACUGCUGGCCGGAUGCCUGUGUGGUUACGGUCCGGUUACAUCUCAGCCCCCUGCUGAGAAAGAGGCGCUAAGGUGGCCCUGGAGCCGUGGAUUCACUGGGGUUGAGAUCAUCUCAGCAACUUUAUCAUGAAGGCCAGCACAGGAGGCCCCUCCUUCCUGUUGGAGAUGUUUAUUUGUAUGAUUAAGAA
rnacentral:lncRNA from 1 species